rnacentral:ncRNA from 1 species
AAAAAUCCAGUGAAGAGGAUUAGUAAUUAAAUUUCUUAUUUAAUACAGAGAAUUGAGGUAGCUGAGAACUCAAUAUAAAUAAAUUUAAUGAAUGGACCUUUGAGGAAUUAAGUGAAAUUUAAAGAGUAGCUGAUAUCGUGACUGCACGUUAUAGCAGAAAUUAUUAAGUGAUAUGCAUAUAAACAUGUAUAUAAUUUAGGUGGUACCGCGGAAAAUAUAUCCGUCCUAUUU